rnacentral:rRNA from 1 species
GACGAACGCUGGCGGCGUGCUUAACACAUGCAAGUCGAACGGAAAGGCCCUGCUUUUGUGGGGUGCUCGAGUGGCGAACGGGUGGGGACCACGUGGGUAACCUGCCCUUGGCUUUGUGAUAACUUCAGGAAACUGGGGCUAAUACCGGAUAGGUGCUCCUGCUGCAUGGUGUGGGUUGGAAAGUUUCGGCGGUUGGGGAUGGACUCGCGGCUUAUCAGCUUGUUGGUGGGGUAGGGGCGUACCCGGGCUUGGACGGGUAGCCGGCCUGAGAGGGUGACCGGCGACAUUGGGACUGAGAUACGGCCCAGACUCCUCCGGGAGGCAGCGGUGGGGAAUAUUGCACAAUGGGCGGAAGCCUGAUGCAGAAACGCCGCGUGCGGGAUGACGGCCUUCGGGUUGUAAACCGCUUUCGCCUGUGACGAAGCGUGAGUGACGGUAAUGGGUAAAGAAGCACCGGCUAACUACGUG